rnacentral:rRNA from 1 species
CAGUCGCCACGGUAAUACGGAGGGUGCAAGCGUUAAUCGGAAUUACUGGGCGUAAAGCGCACGCAGGCGGUUUGUUAAGUCAGAUGUGAAAUCCCCGAGCUUAACUUGGGAACUGCAUUUGAAACUGGCAAGCUAGAGUCUUGUAGAGGGGGGUAGAAUUCCAGGUGUAGCGGUGAAAUGCGUAGAGAUCUGGAGGAAUACCAGUGGCGAAGGCGGCCCACUGGACAAAGACUGACGCUCAGGUGCGAAAGCGUGGGGAGCAAACAGGAUUAGAUACCCCUGUAGUCCCUGUCUCUUAUCC